UACGGGGGGGGCAAGCGUUGUUCGGAAUUACUGGGCGUAAAGGGCUAGUAGGCGGCCAACUAAGUCGGAUGUGAAAUCCCCAGGCUCAACCUGGGAACUGCAUCCGAUACUGGAUGGCUUGAAUCCGGGAGAGGGAUGCAGAAUUCCAGGUGUAGCGGUGAAAUGCGUAGAUAUCAGGAGGAACACCCGUGGCGAAGGCGGAUCUCUGGACCGGUUCUGACGCUGAGGAGCGAAAGCUGGGGGAGCAAACAGG
rnacentral:rRNA from 1 species